rnacentral:snRNA from 1 species
GGAUGUGAAGGCAAUCUGGCUGUGACAUCUGUCACCCCAUUGAUCACCAGGGUUGAUUCAGCUGAUCGGGCUGGCUAGGCAGGUGUCCCCGUCCUCCCACCAUUCCAUGUGCGUCCCUCCUGAAACUGCAAGCUCGGUCAAAGAGGACGAACUUCCAGCCACUAGAGGAGGACCAUUCUUUGGUCAAGGGUAUAGCUGUACUCCCCUUCUAGAACCUCCAAACAAGCUCUCAAAUGCAAUGAAUAUACCACACUAAUGAACGAAGUUGUUGAUGUGGGAAAAGUGGGGGGUGUGGGGAGAGGGACAUAUGGGAAUCUCCUGUAUUUUUAAUGUAACAUUUUGUGUGAUCUAUACAUCUUU